rnacentral:rRNA from 1 species
GAGGAAGGUGGGGAUGACGUCAAGUCCUCAUGGCCCUUAUGGGUAGGGCUUCACACGUCAUACAAUGGUCGGAACAGAGGGCUGCCAACCCGUGAGGGGGAGCUAAUCCCAGAAAACCGAUCGUAGUCCGGAUCGUAGUCUGCAACUCGACUACGUGAAGCUGGAAUCGCUAGUAAUCGCGGAUCAGCAUGCCGCGGUGAAUACGUUCCCGGGUCUUGUACACACCGCCCGUCACACCAUGGGAGUGGG